rnacentral:lncRNA from 1 species
UCAAUUCCAACCCAGAUAGGAACCCAGAACUCAAAGAGAAGGAAAUAAUCUCACCUAAGAUUGAAGGUGAAAGCUUGAAGCUCUGGGGUCUAAUGGGACUGCACUUCACAGUGUACAGAUGACACAUGCAAGACCAUCACUAGGUUCCCUGAGUCCCAAAGAUUAAGGUUUCAUGGUUUUGGAGUUCGAUUUGUGAAGGGACUAGGGUGAUAGUGUGGGUUCUCUCUUCGGUGCUAGAGAGAGUGUGAAUUCGAUAGUGCAAAGAGAGAAUGGAGAGAUAAAGAGUGAUUUCAACUGAGGGAGUGAGAGAGAGAGUGUGUGUGUGUGAAAGAAAAAAAAAAUAAUAAUAAAGAAAGCUACAGAAAUAGGUGUGAGAUAAGAGUGUUAUAGUAAGGAUGAAUAAAAUAAUGAUUAAGUGUGUAAAUAGAGAGAAAUGGAGGGGCUGGCUGAACCAAGGUAGUGGUGCACACUGCACGACGUUGAUUUUUAAAGUUUGAACCUAUCUUAGGUGAAUUUGUACUGUUUCGAACAUAACUUAUUUGUUAUAACUUCGAAUUGAGUUUCGUCUGCUGCAACGUGUUUGUAAAAAUGAGUACUAUUCAAAAAUAGUAAAAUAAGACUGGAAAAGUGAAAGGAAAAUUGAAGUCCACAUGGAAGGCCUAUGUGGCAUCUCAGGGUUAUUUUGAUAAUUUCACAACUAUUGAUAAUCAAAUACGAUAAAUCUCGGGACAGGAUGUCACAUGUGGCCCUUAUUAGAAAUCUACGGCCAUGAAUUAUUGUUUGUGUGUCGGAGAAUUGUCAUGAGAAUCAACUAAAAUAUGACAAGUGACUAGUUAAGAUAUUUUUUUUGUUGCUUUAACUGGUUAUGAAAGUGUUUGUAGAGAAACUUUCUAUACUCGAAAAAAAAAAAGAGUACAUGUAUGAGGAGUGCACAUCCAAUAAAAUUUUUGGAGUGUCAAUAAUAUAGCACCAAAAUUACAACUUAUGAGGGUUGUUUUAUUAAUUGACUGUUUUAAUUUUAAAGAUAAAUUCCACCAAAUUAAGAGUAGGUAGAGUUAUGAUGCAUGGUUCAUGAUAGGAUUAUUAAUGUCUAUGCAAAUAGGGUCAAAAUCACUUGAAAUACUUGCAAGAAUACAAGAAUGUUGUAGUAUAGAUGCUCAUGCAAGGUCGUUCUUCUCAAGGACUAUUUGGAUACUUUAUGUAGAAACAAUUCCUAAUCAAAUACUUAGAAUUAAAAAUUGAGAAAAGAGAUUCUGAAAUUGGGUAAUAUUAAAAACGAAUUCUAAUUAAAAACUAAUAUGACAAAAGAAAAGAGUUUUAAAUACCAAUUUAUAAAAGCACUAGGGUUCCACCAUCACCUAGCAAUCCUAUGUAUUCUUACCAAUUACUUAUGAUCUACACAUGUCACUUUGAAGGUUAGGUUUUCCUAAUUUAUAUUCUACUUGGAACCUCCAACAUAGAAUGUAUAUCUAACAUGCAACCCGUCCGGACGUUCGGAUCAAAUCUGAACAUGAAAUAUUCGUUAUGCUUUAUGAAAACCCUUUGAAAAACCAUGCAAUCCUUAAGACGUGGUGUUCAUCCUAAGUGAAAUUACAAUUAUUAAUCACAAGAAGCCAGCGUCAAUUUCAGGGAACAUUCCGACCAAAAUUGCAUCAAAUUACUUUUCUAAAGAUCCUAAUGGUGAUUAAGCAUUAAGACAAUUAGAUAGUUUUAAUCACGGUGAUCAAUAAUUCAAAGUAUGCAUGCAAUCAAUCAUAAGCAAUUAAAUAAAAAUCAUAUAUUCAUGCUAAGGCUUAAGGCUUCGCCCUAGCAAAAAGAAUUAAUUACGCAUAUUCAUAAUUAAAAUCAUAGAAAAUAUUAUUAAGAAAAUGAUUGAAAACACCUUGAAGUAGAAAAUCUCCAAGAACACUAGCAAUUCUCUCUGUCUCCAAAGUUGCAUAAAAGAAAGCAUAGGAAAAACUAAGAAUGGCAAAUCAAUAUAUUUGCUAAGCCAUCGCACAAACCCUAAAACAUAGGUCACUUACUCCAACUAGGAAACUAAAUAAUAAUAAAAUAUCUUAGAAAAUAAAAUCCUAAUAAAACUAGGAGAAUCUGCCAAGCACUUGUCCAGCCACGUUUUAGCCUCAGAUAUCCUCCAAAUCCAACCCAUAAUAGCUUGUUUUAAAUAUUAGGACGUUCUGAACACAUCUUCAGAAGGCAACGAACCCAUCCGAGGUCAUCAUGGGCUCCAAAAACGCAAUUUAAACCCAAAAAGUCAAUAUUCCAGCACCGCACAAUUCUUCUUUAUUUUAUUGCCAGAAAAUAACCGCUUGGUGGAAAAAUCUGAUAUUUUGAUACGAUCAAGCUAACUGACUCACGAACGUCCUCCAACUAGAAUUACUCCAAAAUUCCUCCAUUUGACCAUGUUUUGCUCCAGAGAAAGUCGAAAGUCCUAUAUUGGAAAUACAAUUCAAAGUAUCAAAAUUCUUUCAAAAUAUUGACCAAAAUAUACUAAGAAUAGGGUUAAAUAUAUAAUAUAAAAUCUACUCAUCAGUUCAUAAAAUUCUCCAAUGUUUUCUUUGUAUGUAUUUAUUUAGGGGAGUGCUACCACUAGUACAAAAACAUACUUACGCGACGGAGCAAAUUGCGUCGCACAAAGUAUGUUUGCACAACGGUAACAACAAAACGUCACGCAAAGGCAUUUAGCGCAACGAAGACUGCCGUCGCGCAAAACAGCUUCGUGUGACGAAUAACCACCUUUGUCGCGCAAUGUUGGGAAAAAAAUAGUAAAGGUCUUGGUUUGGGCGACGUAGGUGCUACGUCGCGCAAAGCAGUUUUGCGCGACAACAGUCUUCGUCGUGCAAAAUUGUUUUGUGCGACGAAUGCACACCUUCGUCACGCAAAGUCAAUGACUUUGUGGUAUAACAUAAGAUUUUAUGGUAUCCACUUGUGUAAAUACAUUAAAUUGAUGAUCAAAUUAGUUCAUUGUAUUCAUAUAGGAUCAAGGAGUGUAGUUGUAAAAAAAAUCAUCAAAAUCGGAGUUAAAAUAAUCGUUGAAUCGUAAUUUUUUCUUUAUAACCGUCGAAAAGUUUUGUCCAGUUACUUGAUCUCUGAAUAUUUGUUUUUUGAGAUUUUUGGCGUAUGCGAUCUCGAAGUAUAUACAAACACGUUUUUCGGUUGGAUCGUUGAAACUAGUUUCGUAGAAUGCGUAUCCCAUCAAAAGUUCAAAACAAUAGAUUCACUAACACUUAAGAGUUUAUUUAUUCUUUCAGUAAGUAUAACAUAAGAUCUUGCAUCUACUAGUGUAAAUAUUUUAAAUUGACGAUCGAAUUAGUUCAUUGUAUUCAUAUAGGAUUAAGGAGUGUAGAUGCAAAAAAAUCAUCAAAAUCGGAGUUAAAAUAACCGUUAAAUCAUGAUUUUUAGUUUCUAACCGUCGAAAAAUUUUGUCUCGUUACUUGAUCUCUGAAUGUUUUUUUUUUUUUUUUUGCGAUUUUUGGCGUAUGCGAUCUCGAAGCUUAUAUAAACACGUUUGACGGUUGGAUUGUUGAAAUUAGUUUCGUAGAAUGCCUAUCCAAUCAAAACAAUAGAUUCGCUAACACUUAAAAGAGUUUAUUUAUACUUUCAUUAAGUAUAACAUAAGUAGUGUAAAUAUUUUAAAUUGAAGAUCGAGUUCAUUCACUGUAUUCAUAUAGGGUCAAGGAGUGUAUCUGUAAAAAAAUCAUCAAAAUCGGAGUUAAAAUAACCGUUAAAUCAUGAUUUUUUGUUUAUAACCGUAAAAAAGUUUUGUCCCAUUACUUGAUCUCUGAAUGUUUGUUUUUUGAGAUUUUUGGCGUAUGCGAUCUCGAAGUAUAUACAAACACAUUUUUCGGUUGGAUCGUUGAAACUAGUUUCGUAGAAUGCGUAUCCCAUCAAAAGUUCAAAACAAUAUAUUCACUAACACUUAAGAGUUUAUUUAUACUUUCAUUAAGUAUAACAUAAGAUUUUGUGGUAUCCACUAGUGUAAAUAUCUUAAAUUGAAGAUCGAGUUCAUUCACUGUAUUCAUAUAGGGUCAAGGAGUGUAUCUGUAAAAAAAUCAUCAAAAUUGGAGUUAAAUAACCGUUAAAUCGUGAUUUUUCGUUUAUAACCGUAAAAAAGUUUUGUCCCGCUACUUGAUCUCUGAAUGUUUGUUUUUUGCGAUUUUUGGCGUAUGUUAUCUCGAGGCAUAUACAAACAAGUUUGACGGUUGGAUCGUUGAAAUUAGUUUCGUAGAAUGCGUAUCUCAUCAAAACAAUAGAUUCACUAACACUUAAAGAGUUUAUUUAUACUUUCAUUAAGUAUAACAUAAGAUUUUGUGGUAUCCACUAGUGUAAAUAUUUUAAAUUGAAGAUCGAGUUCAUUCAUUGUAUUCUUGUAAGGUCAAUGAUUGUAGCUGUAAAAAAUCAUCAAAAUAGGAGUUAAAAUAACCAUUAAACCGUGAUUUUUCGUUUAUAACUGUAAAAAAGUUUUGUCCCGUUACUUAAUCUCCGAAUGUUUGUUUUUUGCGAUUUUUUGCGUAUGCGAUCUCGAAGCAUAUACAAACAAGUUUGACGGUUGGAUUGUUGAAACUAAUUUCGUAGAAUGCGUAUCACAUCAAGUUCAAUGGUGUGUGUAUAUAUAUAUAUAUAUUUAUUUAUUAAGUAGCUUUAAAUUUAUUUAUUUUGUACUCAUAACACUUAAGAAAUUGAAUGAUAUGUAUAUUCAUUAAGUAGCUUUAUAUUUAUUAUUGUAGUUCGGAUCGGGAUUUUGUUAGAAAAAUAUAUUAUUGUGGGAAAAAAACAAUAUAAGUCUUGUUUCGGCACCAAAAUCUUGCGCGACGCACAAGCCACGUUGCGCAAACGUCAUUUGUGCGACGUAGGUACACCUUCAUCACACAAAAUAACUUUGCGUGAUGACAAUCUUCGUCGCACAAAACUGUUUUGCGCAACAAAUGUGCACCUAAGGUGCAAGUUGUUAAAAUUAUCGGGUCCAAUUGUAAAAAAUAGGCGCUUAUUUUGAAUUUUCCCCAUUUACUUGGACAAAAUGGAAAAGAGUCCUUCCUUCUCAUCCCUCUCGCUCAUCUCGCCCUCUCUCUCACUCCGUCUCGCGUAGCCUUAUUCGCGACUGCACCCAGCCAGCCUCCUCCUCAUCCUUCUCAAUCCUGGUUUCAAUGGUAUCAAUGGUAUCAUCCUUCUCGAAUCCUGGUUUCCCUCCUGUGCACACCCACCCACCUCCUUUUUCUGCCAUGGUUGCUGUGAGCGAGACUUCGAUUCGCGAGACCGUGGAUAACAAUCUCCAUAGUCCCCGCCGCUACUUCGCUCUCUGCAACAACAACAAAACCUCCAUAGCCGUAUCCGUUCAUUCCAACAACCAUAUCUCUAUGCUCUUUUAACUUCCGGCUCGUUCUCACCAUAUGGGCUCCACUUCCGCCAUCUCUCUCUGCUCUCAUCCCAAGGUACUUUCUCUCUCUCUCUCUCUCUCUAUCUCUCUCUAUCUCUCUCUCUUACUUGAAUACUAAAACUCCUAUUCGGUUCUCAGAUUUUACUGCAGCCACAAGGGUCUAGGAGUGCUUUUUCUGGGCUAUCGUGGGCAGGGCGUGGUUGUACCUGCUAUCCUACCGCGAAGAAGGAGAUGCUUAGCGGUAAAAGCCGCUUCUAGGCCAUCCGGUGUUCGAAGAGUGUACAGAGAAUCGAAGAGCGGAGGCUCAUUGUCUGUUGCUCCUAUCAAGCAGCUUGCUUCCUUCGUUGUUCCCGCCACCUCCUUCUUGGCCGUCACUUUUGGUACUGCUUUUGCUUUCAAUUCCUUUUUGUUUUACCGUCUCUUAGGCAAAAAUUUAACUUGGUUGAAUGUUGGAUAGAAAUUAGAAAAAUUUAACAUGGUUAAAAUGCGGUAGAAAUUGGAAAACUUCAAUUUGGUUGAAUGUUGGAUAGAAAAUAGAAAACUUAACUUGGUUAAAAUGUGGGGUAGAAAUUGGAAAACUUUAAUUUGGUUGAAUGUUAGGUAGAAAUGGUAUUGGAUUUUGAAGUUUAUUCCAGCAUAUCGUACUGGUGUUAUUGUGAUCAUGUAUGAAGACUUCUUGACUGAUAAAUGUGGAUGGGUUAAUUGUUAUGUUGUGAGAAAAUUAUUGAAGAAAGAUUUUUAUGCAUUGGAACUGUUUGAGAAAAUGUCUGAGAAAGGUAGUGAAGACAAAAUGGAAAUAUCUCACUAGAGAAACCUCUACAUUUUUGAGAACACUAAUUAUAUCUAGAAUCCCUCUGGUUGCACAAUUAUUGUUGAGCUUUUAGUAAGUAAAUUUCAAGGAAUCUCUGCUACUUUUCACCAAUAUGCUACAAGUAUACCACCAAUUGCCUUUGCCAUUCCUUGGAAGCCAACCCCAAAUUAUAAAUACAAAUGGAAUGAGCUUUCCCAAUUUCAAAAUGUGGAGUUCGAUCAUGUUGCAAAGGCAAUUGAGAAUGUGGGGGUCAGAUGGAUGGUACUACCAACUGCUUCAAUCUUAUUUCUCUUGGUUGAUGAAAAGUCUAAGAGACAAAGUGAAUGCACUAUGGGCACCUAUUUUGAUUUAGUAUGCUCUCUCGAAGGUCACCUAGAAAGCAAUUUUGGUGCCUUGGCUAUUGGUUUACAUGCUGAUUUCUAUCUUUGGUUCACUCGUAACCUUGAUUUUUGGCCUAUUUGGGAUCCGGGAGAUGCAUCAGAGAAAGCUGUCAAACUGAUAAUCUAUUUUCAGUACAUGGAGGUCAAGCGAAUGGGUGUUUUUGUGAAUCUAUUUUUCCGGAGGGAACUACCAUUGAAAGGUAUUGAUGUUGAACGGAGGGCAGUGAUUGUAGUUGAACUGAAAACAUGCCUUUUCACAAGUUCUCUGAAUUUGAGGAUUGAGGUCAAGCUAUAUGGGCAAGAGAAAUCGUUGACGGAUAUCCAACUCAGAAAGAGGAAUCCACAUCAGGUGAACAGCAGUUGGAAUACCACAGGCAAGCAUUUUCAUGUACAGCCCAUCAAACCCACCAAAAUCUUCAAAUAGCAUAUCAAAUUCCUGGUAUGAGAAUUAAAAAAUUAGAAACAUAAUUAAAAUAGCUAUUUGCUGCAUGCAUAAUCUGUUUAUCUUUCUUUAGCUACAUGCUUGCUUGAGAGUUAUCAGAUGAGGGGUUUUGUCUCGUAUUUGCAAUGCGCCUAUGUCGUAAGAUGCACUUUUAGGAUUAAUAAUUGGAUUAAGGCAGAUUUCCAAUAUAUAAAUCAUGUACCAAUUGCCAACUAUGACGACCUCUUAUCCUUUCGAACUUUCUCUCUACCUUAGCUGGCAAGCUAUUAACUUGGUGAUAUUAUCAUGAUGUCAAUCAAUUUAAUCAUUGAAUUACUACUUUUAUUUCAAAUGGUAGCUACAAGCCAACCUUAUCUUCCAUGUACUUAAGCUUUCAAUUUGCUUUGAGAACUAUUAAAUGUAAUGAACUUUGGUAUUGCCUUUGUUCCCUUAAUCUGUAUUUGUUUUUUUUUUCCUAUAUCUUCUCUGCAACCUUUUGGAGUCUAAGUGAGAAAUGGCUCAAUUAUUAUGUUUUAUCACAUGGCAGCUCAUAUUUAGAACAAAGAGGGUGUGUGGUUUUGGUGUAGUGAUAUUUGUAUCAUAAUUAAACUUGUGGUUGUGUGGUUUUGGUGUAGUGAGAUAUGAGGAGUGAUGAAGGAGCUACAUAAACUGUAGCGAGCUGCAUGAAGUAGUGAGAUACAUGAAGUAGCUAUAUGAAGGAGUGAUGAAAAAGCUCUAUGAAGGAGUGAUGAAGGAGCUACAUACACUGUAUGUACAAAAGGGAAGAUGCUUUUAUCUGCACGUCUUCGAAAGAAUUCAAGUUUGUAUUUUUAGUGUUUAAGGACGUGUGUUAAUAUGUUCAAACACAUAUCUUAGGUUUGUAAUGAAUGUAUUGGCUUUACCACAUUGAUCUUAUAUACAUUUGUUUUUAUUAAUGAUAAUACAAAAUAUUCUUUAAACAAUGCUCAGUGGAAAUUUUACCAAAAAACAUAUAUUUCUUGCCUCAAUUUCCAUUGGUAUAUUAAUUAUUGUUUAGAAUUUAAUUACAAUAUUUAUUAAAAAUUAAAUUAAAAAUAUUUUUGCCAAAAAAAAAAAAAAUUGGUUUGUGCGACGAAGAAGUAACUUGCGUCAGAUAACCUACGUCAUACAAAGUAGUUUUGCGCGACUUAGGGACAUGUGUCGUGCAAAGACAGUUUGCGCAAUGUAGGGAUAUGCUUCGCGCAAAACUACCUUGCGCGACGUAGGUUACUUCUUCGUUGCGCAAACCCUGCUUUCAUUGCCUUGGCGCGACAGUUAGUGUGCGACGAAGGUUUCGUUGGGCUAAUUUUUGCGCGACGUAUUUUGACUUUGCGCAACGAAGGACCUGCGUCGCGCAAACUGUUUUUGCACUAGUGUACGAAUACUAUUUACUUAAAUUAUGUUCUGUAAAAUAUAUGAUGAGGUUGUUGAUGAAUGAAUUAUUACUUAAACAUUGAUUAACGUACUUAAUUUUUUUUGAUGACACAUCACAUGACUUGCAAAUGUCGUCUAAAAUUUUGACCAAUUGAGCAUUACACAUCUAUUUAUUAACAACUAGCAGACAACAUAUAUUUUCAAUCAAAAGUUUUGACACUAAAUUUCCAACAGAAAAAAUAAUCAUUUAUUUAUUUAUUUUCUGAUAGUGCUACAAUAUUUCAUUCCGGGGUUGGUUAACUCUUAAUUACCUUCGCGACGAUGUUAAUGCUUUGUUUACUUCAUAUCAAUAAAGUUUUGGCCUGAGUCGCAACACAAAAUAUAAGUAGGUCCCAACACAAAACUUAUGUGUAUAUAACGACUGAAAUUAAUUAGCUACUAAAAAUCCCUUGGAACAACACACAAAAAUAGUCCCCUUCAAACGUCAAGUUACACAUACAUAAAAAUGUAUUCUUAUUUUGUAUGAUAGAAAAUAAACUUCAGAAGAAAAAGAAAAAGAUGAGAUUAUUAGGUAUUUGCGUGUGGGAUUAUCAGGACCAUGAACCGUAACAACACUCCUCUACUUGUAGAAUUCCAUGAUCCAAAGAUUAGCAGUGAAACAUUCAUAUCUGAUUCCACUAAAUCCAGAAGCAGUUGCUAAGGCCAUGAAUUCUUCUUGGCUCCUCUCCAUCCCUCCCGGGGUUUGAGUCAUCAUAUGCAGAUCAAGUUGGCCGUUGGUCCUCACAGAUAGGUUAGAAUCUGGCUUAAUUGGGAGAAGUGCCUCCACCACGAUCACUUUUCCAUUGUCUGGAAUUGCAUUGUAACAAUUUUUCAAUAACUUUAUGCAGUCUUUAUCCAACCAGUCAUGAAGUAUGAACUACAAAAUAGUCCCAACAAAAAUGGAAUUAUUAGUUAAACAGAAAAGCUUCGGUUAAUGAUAUUCAUUGGAAAAAGGCUUCUCAUGGUAUAAAAGAUCAAAUAAAAAGAAAAUUCCAAUUUAUAAUAUUACUUUUCUCAGGCCAAAUUGAAUAUUUAACAAACAAAAAUAAUGCAUCAGGAGUUUAAAAAUCACCUUCAAAAAAAUGGCAUCCCCAUUUGGAAUACUUUCAAACAUGUCUCCUCCUACAUUUUCAACACCUGCAAAAUAAAUUACUCCAAUCUUUUAUUACGCAGAAAAGAUAGAAUUCAAAUUAUAAGCCAUAAUACUAUAAAUUUAAAGUCGUACCAGGAUAAGAGGAGGCAUGUUUUAUAACAUGAGGUAAGUCAAAAUUGAUGCCUUUAAUAUGUGGAUAUUUAGAAGUAAUGAGACUAAUUGCCCCUCCCAAAUUACCACCAAUAUCAACAAGCUGCGUAACGUGCUCAAAACCUUUGUAGAGCUUGAGAAUUCUCUUCAUAACUAUGGUGCUGUGGUUGAACAUUGCCUUGUUGAAUAUUUCAUUAAACCUAUGGUCGACACUUGGAUACUGAAAGUGGUGCAUGCCAUGAGCUCUGUCAAAGGCAAUUCCUCCUUCAAUAACUGAAUCUUUCACCUGACGCCUGUCGAUUUUCACAAAAUUAGAGUUAGCUAUAGCUACUUUAAUGUUGUAUUCUUAGAUCUAGACUAGGGGUAGUGCUAGUUAGAUUAGGAAUUUUCGAUUCUACCAUUAAAAUUUCUGAUCAAAUAAAAACUUUUCCAUAAAAGAGAGAACUCCGGUUCUAAAAUAAUUUAACAGUUUCGGAUUUGGAAAUUUUGAUCUUAUCCUUGAACAAAUAUGGGACACAUUCAUGUAUAUACGAAGCUCAUGACCAACGAAUCUGGGACACAUUUUGAUCCUCUUCAUACAUACAUGAACAUGCCCAAUUUUCAAAAUGUGGUUGAGCAGCAAGUCUUGACUAAAAAACAUACCAGCCUUUUAAGAAGGCCUCGUCUUGAACCAUAGUCAACACAGGGGCUAAGGAAACACCAUCUUCAUUAGUCACAAAGUGCUUGGACACAGGGGUAAGGCUGUAGAGCCUCCGGAAACACUUGUCAAGUUUACCGUUAACAACUGUGCAGUCGAGCACGGAGUUGCUGGCCAGGACAGCUAGAAGGCGAUCUAGCAUCAUGGGUCCGUCAGGGGUCUUGGUUCCGAUGUGAGCUGCGAUCUCAGAUGAAGAGAGCUUCGCAUUUUGACCCUCUUUUGCUAUGAUGUCAAAAACGCCAAGCUCAAUUGCUGACUGCAUGGAGAAGGACAGCACUGAAGAAACCACCAGCUGCAGUGCAUGGCAGUAGCUCUCUUCUUCUUUCCUUGCUUCAUCAUCAAGAGGAAUAUCAGGAAGGCCUUUUGGUUCCUCUAGAGAAGCCAUUGGACUAGUGCUUGUGCAUCUAGCUA